rnacentral:rRNA from 1 species
AUUGAACGCUAGCGGCAGGCCUAACACAUGCAAGUCGAACGAGUGGCGGACGGGUGAGUAAUGUAUGGGAAACUGCCUGAUGGAGGGGGAUAACUACUGGAAACGGUAGCUAAUACCGAAUACAAUCAGAUGUGCCCAGAUGGGAUUAGCUAGUUGGGGGGGUAACGGCUAACCAAGGCGACGAUCCCUAGAUGGUAUGAGAGGAUGACCGUGCCUACUGGAACUGAGAAACGGUCCAGACUCCUACGAGAGGCAUCAGUGGAGAAUAUUGCACACUGGGCGCAAGCCUGAUGCAUCCAUGCCGCGUGUAUGAAGAGGUCCUUCGGGUUUUAAAGUACUUUCAGCGGGGAGGCGUUACCCUCAGAAGAAGCACCGGCUAACUCCGUGCCAGCAGCCGCGGUAAUAC